ACGAACGCUGGCGGCGUGCUUAACACAUGCAAGUCGAACGGUGAAGGGGGAGCUUGCUCUUCUGGAUCAGUGGCGAACGGGUGAGUAACACGUGAGUAACCUGCCCUUGACUCUGGGAUAAGCGUUGGAAACGACGUCUAAUACCGGAUAUGACGACCGGCCGCAUGGUCUGGUUGUGGAAAGAUUUUUUGGUCAAGGAUGGACUCGCGGCCUAUCAGCUUGUUGGUGAGGUAAUGGCUCACCAAGGCGACGACGGGUAGCCG
rnacentral:rRNA from 1 species